GAUGAACGCUGGCGGCGUGCCUAAUACAUGCAAGUCGAGCGAACGGACGCGAAGCUUGCUUCUCUGUUGUUAGCGGCGCACGGGUGAGUAACACGUGGAUACCCUACUUAUAAGUCUGGGAUAACUUCGGGAAACCGUAGCUAACACCGGAUAAUAUCUUGAACCGCAUUGUUCAAAAGUGAAAGUCGGUCUUUCUGUCACUUCUAGAUGCAUCCGCGCUGCAUUAGCUAGUUGGUAAGGUAACGGCUUACCAAGGCAACGAUGCAUAGCCGACCUGAGAGGGGGAUCGGCGACACGGGAGCUUGGACACGGUCCAGACUCCUGCGGGAGGCCGCAGUAGGGAAUGGUAGGCAGUGGGGGGAAGCCUGACGGAGCAAGGGGGCGUGAGUGAUGAAGGUCUUGGGAUCGUAAAACUCGGUUAUGAGGGAAAAACAGAUGUGGAAGGAACUGUACAGAUCGUGACGGUACCGAAUCAGAAAGCAACGGCUAACUACGUG
rnacentral:rRNA from 1 species